UAUUGUGAUUGCCAUUUCACAGAUCAGGAAACGGAGAUAAUGACAAAUGAAGUGACUCUUUCUGAGGACUAACAGAUGUAAGUAGAGGAAUCAGAAUUUGGAUCCAGGAUGGAAACAAAGCCUACACUUACAAGAUGUGCAGAGGAGAAAGGUUUACCACAGCUGCUCGAGGAAGAUGGACCCAAAAUAAGAAAUUUUCUACUUGGAUUUGGGGAACCAGUAAAUUCAUUCAGCUUUUCUUCAUUAAUGAUGCUAUGAAUAGUCAAAUCGAAAAAUUAAUUCCUACAAGACUAAGUGGAUAAAUUGUCACCCUUUGACCCCUCAAAGAAUUAGAUCUAAAUAUAGUUUUAUGGUCAGCCCACUCUACACUUGUCAGUAGCCCGACCAAAUAAAUCAACAUUUUAAACUUAAUGCAACUAGGGGUGAGAUUAUGUGAAAUAAAUUCCAUCUUGUUUAUAUAGAGUGAGA